rnacentral:misc_RNA from 1 species
GUCGUUUUGGGUUGUGGCAUUCCACACUCUUGUCUUGUCCAAUGCCAAAAGCUGCAAUAAUUUGGAGCCUUAUAAUUGUGUUUCCGAAUUCUGGUUUUUAGAUUGGUUCCGAUUCUGAUUCUCUAUAAAUUCUGGUUUAUUUUAAGUUGGUGAUCUUAUCAGAGUCGAGUUACUGAGAAUUGGGAGCUGUCUGUGCUUGGGUUUGAGAAGAACAUCGACGAAAGGAAAUGUGGGGAUUUGGGGGGAGGUAUUAUUGGGGGAGAAGGGAAAGGAAAAGGGUAGGGAUAGUGGUGAUAUUUGCUUGGAUGUCGAGUUACUGAGAAUUGGGAGCUGUCUGUGCUUGGGUUUGAGAAGAACAUCGACGAAAGGAAAUGUGGGGAUUUGGGGGGAGGUAUUAUUGGGGGAGAAGGGAAAGGAAAAGGGUAGGGAUAGUGGUGAUAUUUGCUUGGAU